rnacentral:rRNA from 1 species
GAUGAACGCUGACAGAAUGCUUAACACAUGCAAGUCUACUUGAACUUCGGUUUGGGUGGCGGACGGGUGAGUAACGCGUAAAGAACUUGCCUCACAGAUAGGGACAACAUUUGGAAACGAAUGCUAAUACCUGAUAUUAUGAUUUUAGGGCAUCCUAGAAUUAUGAAAGCUAUAUGCACUGUGAGAGAGCUUUGCGUCCCAUUAGCUAGUUGGAGAGGUAACGGCUCACCAAGGCGAUGAUGGGUAGCCGGCCUGAGAGGGUGAUCGGCCACAAGGGGACUGGGACACGGCCCGUACUCCUACGGGGGGCAGCAGGGGGAAAUAUUGGACAAGGGACCAAGAGUCUGAUCCAGCAAUUCUGUGUGCACGAUGAAGUUUUUCGGUAUGAAAAGUGCUUUCAGUUGGGAAGAAAAAAAUGACGGUACCAACAGAAGAAGUGACGGCUAAAUACGUG